rnacentral:ribozyme from 1 species
GCCGAUGGGCACCUCGAAAGGAGGUGUUAAGGCACACCUCGCAGUGAGGUCCAGGUCCAAAGUCCUG